rnacentral:rRNA from 1 species
CGUGUUAAGUGCACCGCUUGGGAGUAUCGACCGCAAGUUUUAAACUCAUAGAAUUUGACUGGGGGCCCUGCUACAAGCGGUGGAGCUAUGUGGCUUAAUUUCCGAUGCAAACAGCGAAGAACCUUACCUGGGCUUGACAAUGGCGAGACUUCGGUCUAAACCGGUGAAAGUCGGUUGAUACCGCACACAGGUGCUGCAUGGCUGUCGUCAGCUCGUGCCGUGAGGUGUUGGGUUAAGUCCCGCAACGAGCGCAACCCUUUGUGGGUAGUUGCCACCCCCGUUCUGCGGGAGCACUCUACUCAGACUGCCCGUGACAAGCGGGAGGAAGGUGGGGAUGACGUCAAGUCCGUAUGGCCCUUAUGCCCAGGGCUGCACACGUGCUACAAGGGUCGGUACAGAAAGAUGCAAGACCGCGAGGUGGAGCAAAUCUCCAAAACCGGCCCCAGUUCGGAUGGCAGUCUGCAACUCGACUGCAUGAAGCCGGAAUCGCUAGUAACGGCGUAUCAGCUACGACGCCGUGAAUACGUGCCCGGGCAGUGUACACACCGCCCGUCACA